GUCUAGGGCCACACCACCCUGAACGCGCCCGAUCUCGUCUGGUCUCGGAAGCUAAGCAGGGUCGGGCCCGGUUAGUACUUGGAUGGGAGACCGCCUGGGAAUACCGGGUGCCGUAGGCU
rnacentral:rRNA from 1 species